rnacentral:ncRNA from 1 species
CAAAGGUUUGGUCCCAGCCUUCUUAUUAGUUAUCAGUAGGCCUACACAUGCAAGUUACCGCACUCCAGUGAGAAUGCCCUCUAGAUCAAUUCUUCCUUUUCCGACCAAAAAGGUGCAGGCAUCAAGCACACUUAAACUCAUAAGUAGCUCAUAACGCCUUGCUCAGCCACACCCCCCACGGGUAACAGCAGUGAUAAACAUUAAGCAAUAAACGAAAGUUUGACUAAGCUAUACUGAAUAGUUCUUAGGGUUGGUAAAUCUCGUGCCAGCCACCGCGGUCAUACGAUUAACCCAAACUAAUAAUACCCGGCGUAAAGUGUGUUUUAGACCCACACCAAAUAAAGUUAAGCCUUAAUUAAGCCGUAAAAAGCCCUAAUUAAAAGUAAAAAAUAAAACAGCGAAAGCAACUUUAAGUCUCUGAAGACACGAUAGUUAAGACCCAAACUGGGAUUAGAUACCCCCACUAUGCUUAACCGUAAACCUAAAUAUCUAUCAACAAAGCUAUUCGCCAGAGUACUACAAGCAACAGCUUAAAACUCAAAGGACUUGGCGGUGCUUUAUAUCCCUCUAGAGGAGCCUGUUCUAUAAUCGAUAAACCCCGAUAAACCUCACCACCCCUUGCUAAUCCAACUUAUAUACCGCCAUCCUCAGCAAACCCUGCUAAGGCAACAAAGUAAGCAAGAGAGUUGCACGCUAAAACGUUAGGUCAAGGUGUAGUCUAUGAGGUGGGAAGAAAAUGGGCUACAUUUUCUACUCAUCGUAGAACAGUAUAACGCUAGCCUGAAUGAAAUUAUGGCGAAAAGGCGGAUUUAGCAGUAAAUUAAGAAUAGAGAGCUUAAUUGAAUAGGGCAAUGAAGCACGCACACACCGCCCGUCACCCUCCUCAAACUACUUUAGAAACCCCAACAUAUAUAAUUUAUACCACUAAAUUACUAGAGGAGACAAGUCGUAACAAGGUAAGCAUA